GGUCCAAAUUUGAAGUAGUGUAGUUUAGUACGAUCAGUUGACCCUAAUAAUCUACUCUACUUUAACUUUGUGCCC
rfam:Haemonchus contortus, ISE/inbred ISE, WGS project CAVP01000000 data, contig: Hcontortus_20371